GAACAUUGAACAUAUUCUACAUCUGUGAAGUAACAUUGAGAUCCUGACUAUUAUGUCCCAAAAUAACACUUCAUGAACUCAUGUAAAUUAUGUGAGUUACAUUACUUGUCUUAUCUAAAUCUAAAUUACAUGCAAGGAAAUUUUAAGGCCACUUAGUUCAAAAUAAGGUUGCUUUGAUAUGUAUAGUUUUCUCCCUUUUAUUCAUUGCAAACUCUUUUAGAUAUGUGUUCAAAAUCAUCUUUAAAAUUGGGAAUCAUUUUCAAUUAUACUCUUUUAAAAAUGUUCUGAUACUUAUCAUAUAAUUUUUGUUAUUUUGCAUACACAAGUUAGGGAAAAUUAGAGAACUGAUGAUUUGAUAUUUGCUUGUACAUUAAAUGUAUUGUUUUUUUCAAUGAGCAAUGCGCAGAUACUACAGAAAAAUAGAAUAAAUAAAUAAUAUUCUU
rnacentral:misc_RNA from 1 species